ACUAAUUUGGCAGAUUAGAGUGCAUUAAAUUUAGAAUUUAUAUAUAUUGAUUUAUCAUUAAUUAGUA
rnacentral:tRNA from 1 species